GCGUAUGCGGUAGUGCAACGGUUAGCAUACGCUCCCGGAAAGCGUGAGAUCUGGGUUCGAAUCCCGGCUGACGCA